rnacentral:rRNA from 1 species
ACCAGACUCCUACGGGAGGCAGCAGUGGGGGAUAUUGCACAAUGGGGGAAACCCUGAUGCAGCGACGCCGCGUGGGUGAAGAAGCGCCUCGGCGCGUAAAGCCCUGUCAGCAGGGAAGAAAAUGACGGUACCUGAAGAAGAAGCCCCGGCUAACUACGUGCCAGCAGCCGCGGUAAUACGUAGGGGGCAAGCGUUAUCCGGAUUUACUGGGUGUAAAGGGGGCGCAGACGGCAGUGCAAGUCCGGGGUGAAAGCCCGGGGCUCAACCCUGGGACUGCUCUGGAAACUGUAAAGCUGGAGUGCGGGAGGGGCAGGCGGAAUUCCUGGUGUAGCGGUGAAAUGCGUAGAUAUUAGGAGGAACACCAGUGGCGAAGGCGGCCUGCUGGACGAUGACUGACGUUGAGGCUCGAAAGCGUGGGGAGCAAACAGGAUUAGAUACCCUAGUA